rnacentral:snoRNA from 1 species
AUGCACAAAGUCUCUUCUAUGUGAGCAGUGUUAUUUCUUAUGUGAUAUAUAAACAGUUGAAGGUUAAUUAGCAGAAUAUUGCACAUAGUAAUGUUGCCUGUCCCCUUCAUACACAC